CCUACGGGUGGCAGCAGUGGGGAAUAUUGGACAAUGGGGGGAACCCUGAUCCAGCCAUGCCGCGUGUGUGAAGAAGGCCCUCGGGUUGUAAAGCACUUUCAGUGAGGAAGAACGCCUGGUGGUUAAUACCCAUCAGGAAAGACAUCACUCACAGAAGAAGCACCGGCUAACUCCGUGCCAGCAGCCGCGGUAAUACGGAGGGUGCGAGCGUUAAUCGGAAUUACUGGGCGUAAAGCGCGCGUAGGUGGCUUGAUAAGCCGGUUGUGAAAGCCCCGGGCUCAACCUGGGAACGGCAUCCGGAACUGUCAAGCUAGAGUGCAGGAGAGGAAGGUAGAAUUCCCGGUGUAGCGGUGAAAUGCGUAGAGAUCGGGAGGAAUACCAGUGGCGAAGGCGGCCUUCCGGACUGACACUGACACUGAGGUGCGAAAGCGUGGGUAGCAAACAGGAUUAGAUACCCGUGUAGUC
rnacentral:rRNA from 1 species